GGCCGCUCUCGUGGCAUUUGGAGGUUCCCAGGCUAGGGGUAGAAUCAGAGCUGUAGCUGGCCUACACCACAGCCACAGCAACGCGGGAUCCAAGCCACGUCUGCAACCUACACCACAGCUCAUGGCAACACCGGAUCCUCAACCCACUGAGUAAGGCCAAGGAUCGAACCUGCAACCUCAUGGUUCCUAGUCAGAUUCGUUAACCACUGCGCCACAACGGGAACUCCCUACACAAUGAAUUUUAUUACAUUUAUAGUUGUAUGGUGAUCAUCAUAAAGGUUUUGUUCUUGUGGCAGAUUUUGUUCUCAAAAUCUAUCUUUCAACUCAAUGUUGCCAUGCUAGUAUCUCACACACAGGAAAACGAAGAGAUGGAGUGCUCUGGGGGCUAUUUCAAUCAAUAGAGCGCAGCAAAAGUGCUUCUGGGGCUGUCAUGAAAAGUGACCCAGCUUCUGCUUUGCUCUCUGGAAUACUUGUUCUAGAAGCCUUUAGUCUGACUGUCUCGAGACCACCAUGCUGUGCGGAAGCCCAAACUAGCCCAGGCAGAGAGGCCACCUGGAAAGAACCUGAGACUUCAUGGAAAGAGAUGUACACUGCCCCAGAUGCUCUUCCAGCCCCGGCCCCCACCUGACCACAGCUGUGCAAGAGACUCCUGGCCAGAACUGCCCAGCCAAGCCCUCCUGAGUUCCUGACCCACAGAAACGGAGAGAAAAAACUGUUUUAAGCCAUCAGGUUUGGGAAUGCCUUACAAGGCAGCAAUACAGGAGUAAUUUUUUGGCGUUAUCCCCACGUCUGCUUAUUGUACUGUAUCUUGAUUUAUUGCCCUUGGACAUUAUUGUUUCCAGCUUCCCAGAUGCGACCUUAGAUCACUUACAUUAACCCUCACAUCACCCUCCUAAGUUUUGAUAGUAAAUAUCACCAUUUAGAAUUCUUUUAUUGGUUACAUUUGAAACUCUAUCUUAAAAACUCUAAUUCUUAGUCCAUUAAGUAAAAGUUUAUACAAGUAAAAUUAAGCUUAUAUAAUGUGUUUCCUUUUUAACACAUCUCUUUCAACUCUCAAUUAUCUCAGAUAUUCUUAAUGAAAUGUUAGGCAAGGAGAACAUAUAAACUUGUAAGUCCUGAUAUUCUCUAAAACUCACUUGUUUUUCUGCACUUUCCCUCCUGAGGAGUUAAAUGGGCCCCUGUAUUGCCUACCAGGCAAUUCCUACCACACCAGUAUCUUCCGUGUCCUGAAUGGUGGGUGGCAUGAAUUUGUGUGAUUUCUCCUAAUGUUGUAAAUACUGCUUUACUGUUUCUUUAGGAAGAAGUUCCAAGGGCCCUUCUUUUUCCACCAACCUUUACUCCCUGGGCCAGGAAUCUGCUCUGGUGACUCCAACCACUGAGAAUAUUUGUUCAGUGUUCCAUGGUGCCUGCUAUAGCGUAGACUGCUCAAAACUCCAGCCUCCCUAUCACCUGCCCUCCAUAAAACCUCUCUUGAAUAGUGGACCACAAUGACUUUCUGAUUCUCCAGUAAAGAACACUGGCUCAGAACCAGUGUCCAGUAAUCCCCCAGAAUAUUCCCUUUACUGCACAGCAGCCUUAAUGAGCAGCCUCAGACCCUUUGGGGAAGGCUGGCUGAAUGGAGAUUCACAGCACACCUCAACAUUACUGCAGGAGCUUUCCUUAAUAGUACUUAGUUUCUACUUUUUUCAAGUGGUACUAUUACAUGAUUCUGGUCUAGAAACUGAGCCAGGUGCUCCAUCAUGAUGAUGAGGCUUAGAGCCUUUUGGUUAUAGUAAUGCAGCAACACCUUAGAGAUGGUACUAGGACCCCACCACUCAAAUUCUCUGUAGGAAAACCCAUCUGAUUAUCAUACCAGCCCUGCUACUUAAUGUGGUGACCAGGGCCAACUGGCUUGUGCUGGCUAGUUGCCACUACUUGGCUUGGGCCACCAAAAUGUCAUUCUAGCUCCAAUGAAAUGAAAGUCCCAGUAAAACAUUCUGAAAUGCAUUCCUUUCUUCUAUCAAUACCUUCCUUAAGGGGCUGGGUUCCAUGUCUUCUCCAGGAACAUGCAGCUUUGUGAGUGGUUCUCCUGUGACAGAUCCACUCCAGCUCUUCCAUUUCCUAGAUACUGGGUUUUCUUACAUUAUCUUACUGGGGUUCAGAGUGGUCAGCUGUCAAGUGCAGCUUCUUCGAUCAGUUAGGCAAACAAUUAAAACCACUCUCAGCCACUCAAACCAAGCUGAACCCAUACUGACAGAUUCAACUACCUCUGAAAUUAGACUCUUGGCUGAUCACCAACAUAAUCCAUUCCACACAUAGUCCUACAGAAUCCUCCAAAUUCUAACAAAUACAUACAUUUCAAUAGUGUGGAUCCUAUCUACUAAAUUUCCUUACCUUCACAUAAGAAAGCUUGGUGAAUCUGCAAAUUCCACUGAUAUAUCUGGCAACCUGCAGGAUCCCUGGGUUACCAGUUAGCAGUCCCUGAGGUUUUCAUGUCUUCAUUGUGCUCUACAGCAGCUGUAAAUAGUUUCCCAAUGUCUUAUCCUCACUGGACACUUCAUUCCACAAGGCCAUAGAAAGUACCAUAAUUAGCUGUCUCACCAUAAGCUACCAGAUUCCCAUCCAGUUAGAUGCUGCUACAAUCCUGUUUUCAAUGUCCUACCAUCUUUGUGGUGCUAAAGACUGAAGGACCCCUGAGAAGCCAAGGCUAGUCAAGGGCCCAUGUGAUGUCUGCCACCUAAUGAAAAAAGUAGGAUCUCUCCUCUUUGGUUCCUGUGUUGGGAGACCAGGGACACUCCCCAAACCAGGUGUGCAACCCAGAAGAACAGCAUGUCCUUUCUUUCCAUCUCUCUUCUUAAAACCUUUUCUAUUAUAAGUUUCCAGAGGAGAUAAAUUCUUGUGAUCAGCUGUCAAGCUAACUGUAAUUCUUCCUUAAAAACUUUUUUUGGGAAAUUAAAAUAUUUAAAGAUAAAAAUAAAAAAAUUAAAUGAGUACCCAUAUUUUUAUCACACAGAUUUAGCCACUGUUAACUUUUUUGUAUCUUUUUUUUUUUGGGGGGGGGGGGCCGCACCCAAGGCAUAUGGGAGUUCCCAGGCUAGGGGUUGAAUUGGAGCUAUAGCUGCCGGCCUACUCCACAGCCACAGCAAUGCCAGAUCCUUAACCUACUGAAUGGGGCCAGGGAUUGAACUGGCAUCCUCAUGGAUACUCAUCGGGUUCAUUAUCACUGAGCCACAACAGGAACUCCACAGCCACCAUUAAUUUUUUUUUUUUUUUUUUUGUCUUUUGCUUUUUUAGGCCCGCACCUGAGGCACAUGGAGAUUCC
rnacentral:lncRNA from 1 species